CUCCUUUGACGUUAGCGGCGGACGGGUGAGUAACACGUGGGUAACCUACCUAUAAGACUGGGAUAACUUCGGGAAACCGGAGCUAAUACCGGAUAAUAUUUCGAACCGCAUGGUUCGAUAGUGAAAGGUGGUUUUGCUAUCACUUAUAGAUGGACCCGCGCCGUAUUAGCUAGUUGGUAAGGUAAAGGCUUACCAAGGCGACGAUACGUAGCCGACCUGAGAGGGUGAUCGGCCACACUGGAACUGAGACACGGUCCAGACUCCUACGGGAGGCAGCAGAG
rnacentral:rRNA from 1 species